rnacentral:lncRNA from 1 species
AUCAGAUUCUGUAUCCAGAUCUCUGGCCCAUCAGGCAUUCUACAUUCUUAAUUUUAAAACAUCUCUAACUUCCCCAGCAUAUCCAGCUCCCCAUCCCUAUAAAUCUUUGAGAUACAGCCCAUUACAAAUAUACCAGAGGCCCCAGAACAUCACAAGUGCAUCCCCAGAGAAGAAGUGCAUCCUAAAAUUCAGGCAGAGGCUGGGUAUGGUGGGGCAUGCCUGUAAUCCCAGUGGCUCCACAGGCUGAGGCAGGAGGAUUGUGAGUUCAAAGCCAGCCUCAGUAACUUAAUAAGGCAUUUAGCAACUCAGCGAGACCCUGUCUCUAAAUAAAAUAGAAAAAGGUCUGGGGAUGUGGGUCAGUGGUUAAGCAUCCCUGGGUUCAAUCCUGGGUACCAGAGGGGGGAGAAAAAAAGAAUUCAGGCAAAGAUAUUGUGAAGAGAAAGGAUGCCCUGUAACAGAGCAAUUACCAAGGCCCUAAACAAGGACAGUGAGAGAGAAGCAGGGGGAAGGAUUGAGGUCAGAGAGGGGAAGAGGAAUUUCAUUUUGCCCUAGGAGAAGGGUUCUUGCACAAUGAAGGCACAAGGAAUGUUUCCCUUGCCUCUUUCUUGCUCUGGGGUUAGGAAGGACAGGAGGAGUAGGAGGGGGAGCCGGGGCACUAUGUAGAGGGUGGAGAAAUUAGGCAUGGAACAGGGGAGAAGGCAGGGUCAUGGACACUAUCUGUUUUACUUUGAGACCUGGGAUUGGACUGAUGUCACUGCAAUCACUGCUCCCGCUGUGGGUUCCCUGGGAUGGGAGCCAAAGUAAAGGAGGUGAUGCUAAGGGUUUGGAUUGAGCACUCAGGGAAAGGGAGGAGUGGAAAGCCAGGUGCAAAGGCUGUUGCACCCCUGAAGUCCUGUUUAUGCUUCAGCAGGACAUGAGCAGAGAGUGGAAACUAAAGCACCUGACGUGGGAGGAGAUCCUUUCUGUCCACAGAAACCAGGCUAAGGAUCCUGCCAACCACCACCAACAACCACUACCAAGGACUCUGCACUGCCAACAGCUGAGUGCCCUCCCUGUGCCAGGCAGACUGUGCCAGGCACUUCACAUUCAUUCCCCUCCCAUCUCAACUCUGGAGGAGUUUUCAUAUCACAGAUGGAGAAAUGGGAGCUCAGAGACUUUGAGAAGUGUGCCUCAGUUUAAACAGCUAGUGAGAGUUUAAAAACCUCCCUGCAGAAGGGCUGACCAGGUACUCUACCCACUGGACCCUUGCAAACCUCCAGGGACACUUUUUGGAAGGCUGAACAGGAGCUCCCCUCUCCCACCAGGAAUAUGCUCCUCCUCAUUCUCACAAGAAAAUAAAGAUUUUUUUUCUUUGGAGUUGAUCCCUGACACAGUGGAGGGCUGGAGGGAAGUGAUGUUCUGAAACUCUGGAGCGACUAAGACAGCUUUCAUGCUAAAGUGAGGACCCAGUGCCCUUCCCUUAUUUGGUGACCAGAAUGAUGACAGACAGAUGCCUGUCAAGGCAGGACCCUGGGGCUUCUGCCUACAGGGAAACUACGCAAUCCUAGAAAAAAGGCUGACAGAGGUUGGGAAUCCUCUAGCCUCAAAGCUGGACAUCUGCUUUGUUUUCUACCUGACUUCAGAGCCUACAAUGCAGUGAAUCCCUUUCACUCACAAGAGCAUCAAAUCAACCUGUUAUGACAUCACCCCUGAUUAUGAACGGCCAUCAGUGACCACUGCACACUUGAGGAAAGGCCCUCAUGUGAAAGACACCAGCAAAUAAAUGAGAGAGUAGAUA